CCUACGGGUGGCAGCAGUAGGGGAUCUUGGACAAUGGGCGAAAGCCUGAUCCAGCGACGCCGCGUGGGGGACGAAGGCCUUCGGGUUGUAAACCCCUGUUGUUGGGAAAGAAGCCGGGCUUCGCCCGGUGACGGUACCCAACGAGGAAGCCCCGGCUAACUACGUGCCAGCAGCCGCGGUAAGACGUAGGGGGCGAGCGUUAUCCGGAUUCACUGGGCGUAAAGGGCGCGCAGGCGGCUAUGUAAGUCCGGCGUGAAAUCCCACGGCUCAACUGUGGAACUGCGUCGGAUACUGCAUUGGCUUGAGGAUGGUAGAGGCUAUUGGAACUAGCGGUGUAGCGGUGAAAUGCGCAGAUAUCGCUAGGAACGCCGGUGGCGAAGGCGAAUAGCUGGGCCAUUCCUGACGCUGAGGCGCGAAAGCUAGGGGAGCGAACCGGAUUA
rnacentral:rRNA from 1 species